GAUGCCAUUGUGGAGAAGGAGAUGCAUGUGGACAGAGAAUGGCUCUGGAGCUGUGGAGCCUGGUGCAGGAUCUGACUCAGAGACACUCCAUAAACCUUUCUCAAAGAAUAUAUGAAUGCGGCGUGAAAGUGAAGCUGCUGUUUCUGCAGCACAAGGCUGUGGUGAGGAGUCCAUGAAGAGGGGCCCACCAGGCCUCAGGGGCCACUCAUGCCAGGAAGGGGCAGUCAUCCUAGGAGGAGUGGUGCUAUCAGAAGCUACCUCAGGAGAAGAAGCUGAGGCAGGCUGUCCCUGGAGGGCAAGGUCCAGUGCCGGAGACACAAGGUUCAUCAGGGUAAGGAGGGGAUGGGUGUGGGGCUGGAGACAGGUGUGUCCCCGGGGAGAUGAGCUGGUGGCAAUUUCCAGUUCUGGGGGAGGGUGCAUGUUAGCUGUGCUAUGCCUUUCUUAAUAAUCAUCUUAUAUCCCACAAAUGAACACUUAUGAUAAAUGAUAACAGAGUGGACACCGGCUUCAUCCAAGUGUUUUUUUUUUGUUUUUGUUUUUGUUUUUUUGGUACCGGGGAUUGAACUCAGGACUUUGCACUUGCCAGACAAGCACUGUGCCGCUAAGCUACAUCCUUGGCCCUUCAUCCAGGUUUGAGGGGGCUCAGAGUUUGGUUUCUUUCCUGAGGGUAAGGGACCCUUGAUGGGUCAUUAAGGAGCCAGAUGGGCUGUGUGGGCGUGUGGGUAUGUGUGUGGGAGUGAGAAAUAGGAAGGAGGAGCCCAGGGAGGGGGUCACUUUCCUGUGCUACUGAGUAGGUAAGGUACUGGCUGGGGCUGACAGGACAGCUGUGGACUGUGGUGCAGUCUGCACACUGCACAAGGAUGCUGCUGUGGGCUGGGAUCCCCAAAGACCACCUGGAUGCCUUUUCCUUUCCCCUGUUCCUCCCGCUCUACCCUCCUUGCCUACUUAGCACUUUGGAUAGAGGGGCUGCCUUCCCUCCCACUUUGUCUCAGAGUGUGGGCUCCUUAGAACAGGAUGAUGCACCCCAAGGCACAUGGCAGGUGGGAUUCAUGUCACAGGAAUGAAAUUACCUGGGAGCGGUGAAGCCCCGCUGAGGGCCCCUAAAUCCUUAAAGCAGUCAGGCGUACACAGCGCACAGGUGCACACGUCCAUACAUGCACAUGUGAGGAACACUGACCUCAGUCCCCUUCCUGGCCCAGGUCCGAAGUAACAGGCCUCUCCCUGUCCACUGCCCUGUGACCUGCAGGAGCCCCAGGGGUGAACAUU
rnacentral:lncRNA from 1 species